GAUGAACGCUGGCGGCGUGCCUAACACAUGCAAGUCGAGCGAAGCACUUACUUUAGAUUUCUUCGGAAUGACGAAGUUUGUGACUGAGCGGCGGACGGGUGAGUAACUCGUGGGCAACCUGCCCUGUACAGGGGGAUAACAGUUAGAAAUGACUGCUAAUACCGCAUAAGCCCACAGCUUCGCAUGAAGCAGUGGGAAAAACUCCGGUGGUACAGGAUGGGCCCGCGUCUGAUUAGCUAGUUGGUAAGGUAACGGCUUACCAAGGCGACGAUCAGUAGCCGACCUGAGAGGGUGACCGGCCACAUUGGGACUGAGACACGGCCCAAACUCCUACGGGAGGCAGCAGUGGGGAAUAUUGCACAAUGGGGGAAACCCUGAUGCAGCGACGCCGCGUGAGCGAUGAAGUAUUUCGGUAUGUAAAGCUCUAUCAGCAGGGAAGAAAGUGACGGUACCUGACUAAGAAGCCCCGGCUAACUACGUG
rnacentral:rRNA from 1 species